GACUAAUUGAGUAGUAUGGAAAAUGUAAAUAAUUGAAAAUGCAAAAAGCUCAAAGAAAAAAGCCGAAUUGUUAGUUACUACUACAAUGGAAAGAUGCAUUAAAUAUGUCACAAAAUCUUAAGAAAUACUGAGGAAUAUAAAAAGAAUGAUUAUUAAAGAAAAUGCUUCAACAAGGAUGAUCGCAAAGUAUUUUCUACCUCAUUUUUCUGCUUUUAAAUAUAUAAUUAAGUAUAAAUAAAGGAAUCAAAAUGGAGAGUAGAGAGUUGGAAGAACACAGCCUCUCAUCAAAAAUUUUUGAGCAUUUUUUAGGUAGCCUUUUUUUAAAAGCAUGAUAUACUAGGUACAAUGUUAGAAAAUACAAACGGCACUCCCAAAGACCAUAUAUACAAUAGCUUCUCUUUUUUUUAAAUACAAGGAUCAUAAUAAAAUGAAAAGAAGACAAUAUAAAGAACGAAUUAAGCUUAAUUAAGCAUACCAACCAAAAA